UACGUAGGCAGCAAGCGUUGUCCGGAAUUAUUGGGCGUAAAGGGCUCGUAGGCGGUCUGUUGCGUCGGGAGUGAAAACUCAGGGCUUAACCCUGAGCCUGCUUCCGAUACGGGCAGACUAGAGGUAUGCAGGGGAGAACGGAAUUCCUGGUGUAGCGGUGAAAUGCGCAGAUAUCAGGAGGGACACCGGUGGCGAAGGCGGUUCUCUGGGCAUUACCUGACGCUGAGGAGCGAAAGUGUGGGGAGCGAACAGG
rnacentral:rRNA from 1 species